rnacentral:rRNA from 1 species
GUUUGAUCCUGGCUCAGAGCGAACGUUAGCGGCGCGCCUAACACAUGCAAGUCGCACGAGAAAGGGGGCAACCCCCGGUACAGUGGCGCACGGGUGAGUAACACGUGGGUGAUCUGCCCAGAAGAAGGGGAUAACCUCUCGAAAGGGGGGCUAAUACCGCAUAGGACCACCGGGGCUCUGGCUCUGUGGUGAAAGGGGGCCUCUGUUUACAAGCUCCUGCUUCUGGAUGAGCCCGCGUCCCAUCAGCUAGUUGGUAGGGUAAUGGCCUACCAAGGCUACGACGGGUAGCUGGUCUAAGAGGAUGGCCAGCCACACUGGAACUGAGACACGGUCCAGACUCCUACGGGAGGCAGCAGUGGGGAAUCUUGCGCAAUGGGCGAAAGCCUGACGCAGCGACGCCGCGUGGGUGACGAAGGCCUCGGUGUAAGCC